rnacentral:misc_RNA from 1 species
AGGAGCUGAGUAUUUAGAAGAGCUAUUGAGCUCAUCAUGUGUAGGAAGUCCUAAUCCUUGGUGAAUAAUUAAUCUUUUUGUCCAUUAUUUCCUUCUUUCAGAUCUUUUUUCUUUGACAACCCUUCUUUCAGAUCUUAAUUAAUUCUCGAUUUUCUUUUCUUUUCUUUUUCACAUCUUGUUAUCCACUCCGUAUAACCAUGGAAGAACAAGG